rnacentral:rRNA from 1 species
GACGAAGGGGGCUAGCGUUGUUCGGAAUUGCUGGGCGUAAAGCGCGUGUAGGCGGUUGCCCAAGUCGGGUGUGAAAGCCUUGAGCUCAACUCAAGAAAUGCACUCGGUACUGGGUGACUAGAGGACCGGAGAGGAUAGUGGAAUUCCCAGCGUAGUGGUGAAAUACGUAGAGAUUGGGAAGAACACCAGUGGCGAAGGCGGCUAUCUGGACGGUUUCUGACGCUAAGACGCGAAAGCGUGGGGAGCAAACAGG